GAGACCAUGACUCUCUUACAUCAAGCUUAGCGCUCUCUAGUGAGACCAUGACUCUCUACAUCAAGCUCUUUGCCUCCGGGUGAGACCACACCACGCUACAUCAAGCUUGGUGCCCCCUGAUGAAACCGCACCACUCUACAUCAAGCUUAGCGCCUCCUGGUGAGACCGCACCAUUCUAUAUGAGCCAUGCACCACUCUCCGAUUAAAGGAACUGCUCGGAGUAAAGAAUCAACCGGACGGGCCACCACUCUCCGAUUAAAGGAACUGCUAAAACAAAGUGUGAGGACCUUCCUUACGCCUGGUAGAGGAAUGCCACAGAAGAAUCGAAGCAGAAGCGGAGGAGGCAGAGGGAGCAUGAUGCCCACCUAUUCGCGUCGGGGGACUUCCGAGACAAGCCAUCGUAACUGACGGUUACAGUGUUUUAUACUGAUAUUCCACGUGUUUUUAGAAAAAUUUGUUGUAUU